rnacentral:rRNA from 1 species
UACGUAGGGACCAAGCGUUGUCCGGAAUCAUUGGGCGUAAAGAGCGUGUAGGCGGCUUGUUAAGUCUUGCGUGAAAUCUCGGGGCUCAACCUCGAGAUGUCGGCGGAAACCACUUGGCUAGAGUCCGGAAGAGGAGAGUGGAAUUCCUGGUGUAGCGGUGAAAUGCGCAGAUAUCUGGAGGAACACCGGUGGCGAAGGCGGCAUCCUGGACCGGUAUUGACGCUGAUGCGCGAAAGCCAGGGGAGCAAACGGG